UAGGCGGAUGCCGAAAAGCCUUAAACAGAGUAAGCC
rfam:Saprospiraceae bacterium KD52 Scaffold2_5, whole genome shotgun sequence.